rnacentral:rRNA from 1 species
UACAGAGGUCUCAAGCGUUGUUCGGAGUUACUGGGCGUAAAGCGUGCGCAGGCGGUUUUGUAAGUCUGUCGUGAAAGCCCCGGGCUCAACCUGGGAAUUGCGAUGGAGACUGCAAGGCUUGAAUCUGGCAGAGGGGGGUAGAAUUCCACGUGUAGCAGUGAAAUGCGUAGAGAUGUGGAGGAACACCGAUGGCGAAGGCAGCCCCCUGGGUCAAGAUUGACGCUCAUGCACGAAAGCGUGGGGAGCAAACAGG